rnacentral:rRNA from 1 species
UACGAAGGGGGCUAGCGUUGCUCGGAAUCACUGGGCGUAAAGCGCACGUAGGCGGAUUGCUAAGUCAGGGGUGAAAUCCUGGAGCUCAACUCCAGAACUGCCUUUGAUACUGGCGAUCUCGAGUCCGGGAGAGGUGAGUGGAACUGCGAGUGUAGAGGUGAAAUUCGUAGAUAUUCGCAAGAACACCUAUGGCGAAAGGCAGCACUCUGGGACGGUA